UUCGUAGGGUGCAAGCGUUAAUCGGAAUUACUGGGCGUAAAGCGUACGCAGGCGGCUUUGCAAGACAGGUGUGAAAUCCCCGGGCCUAACCUGGGAACUGCAUUUGUGACUGCAUGGCUAGAGUUUGUCAGAGGGGGGUGGAAUUCCACGUGUAGCAGUGAAAUGCGUAGAUAUGUGGAGGAACACCGAUGGCGAAGGCAGCCCCCUGGGAUGUGACUGACGCUCAUGUACGAAAGCGUGGGGAGCAAACAGG
rnacentral:rRNA from 1 species